UACGGAGGGUGCGAGCGUUAAUCGGAAUUACUGGGCGUAAAGGGCGCGUAGGCGGCUGAUCAAGUCAGGUGUGAAAGCCCACGGCUUAACCGUGUGAAGUGCAUCUGAAACUGGUCGGCUUGAGUAUCGGAGAGGAAAGUGGAAUUCCCAGUGUAGAGGUGAAAUUCGUAGAUAUUGGGAGGAACACCGGUGGCGAAAGCGGCCUCCUGGACGGCUACUGACGCUGAGACGCGAAAGCGUGGGGAGCAAACAGGAUUAGAAACCCCA
rnacentral:rRNA from 1 species